rnacentral:rRNA from 1 species
GCAAGUCGAGCGAGACGGUUGACAAUGAUCCUUCGGGUGAAUUGUUAGCUAGACAGCGGCGGACGGGUGAGUAACGCGUGGGUAACCUGCCUUGUACUGGGGGAUAACGUUUUGAAAAGAACGCUAAUACCGCAUAAGCUUACAGUAUCGCAUGAUACAGUGAGAAAAACUCCGGUGGUACAAGAUGGACCCGCGUCUGAUUAGCUAGUUGGUGAGAUAAAAGCUCACCAAGGCGACGAUCAGUAGCCGACCUGAGAGGGUGAUC